AAUUAUUCCUACUAAGCUGUGAUGAAUCAGACUACAUUGGGAAAGGGAGCAAAAGAUGACAGUGUUUACAAGAUGGCAUGCAUACUUCAGCUUUUUUGACGUGUUAUUACUAAGUUUCAACCAAUUGUGAUACUGUGAGAUAUGCUUUUGAAAAGCUAAAUGAGAACAACAGGAAAGAAAGUCAACAUUUUCUAAAUACCUAGGCUAUGCAAUUAGCCUUAUAAAUGGAAAUACAGGAUUUUAAAACUGCAUUCUUUCUGAAGGAUAUGUUUAUAUUGGACAGUUAUUGUUUCUGGAACCAGACUAAACUCAGUAAAAUACAGUCAAUUCAGUCUUCUAAUCUGCAGAAAGCACUUUUAAACCUUUUAAAUGUUUAGGCAGUUAUGAGCGCACUUAAACCACAGGAAGAGGAGCUCUGGACUGAGCAGAAAAAUUGGACUGAAGCAAGAUUUUGUCCUUUCAAACCAAUAUUCCCGUGUAAGUGCUGACAAUUUACAGCACUUGAGCGAAGGAACAUCAAGGCAGUACAUAAAAUUUUCUGUUCUACAGAUUUGCUAAGCCUGAAGGCAAGGAAAAGAAUCCCAGGUGACAUCUAACUUGUAUUCUGGAUCACCACUGAAAUCACCUGGUGACAGAGGCCAUGGGGGAAGUGCUGGAAGACGAGGCUAACACAGAUGAGUAAAUCUAUCUGGCGUGGGCUUGUUGGACUGACUAUCCUGUCUCCAUGCUGUAUCAUUCCAUGACAAAGAAAAUAACUUCUGGUUUCUGACAAUGUUUUCCUUAAUGAAGAGGAAGAUUUCUUCCACAAAAGUACAGAAACCAGAAAUUUCAAUAUUUUUCUUAGAACACAGAAUCGAAGUAUCCAGGAGGUUACAGGGCACAAAGCAUGAGCUCUCAUCACUCUAACCUUUGCCCAAAAUCUUAAUCCAUAACCAGUAAUCCACUACAUGAUAAAAUGCGACGGGGAAAGAAGAGCAAACGCAAUGAGUAUCAAUAGAAAACUUUUUACCUCCUUUCAUUAAAGAACAUGGCACCCAGACAACUGACAAAUAUUGUAUACAUGGAAAGAGACAGACAACCAAAAAAUAAUACACAAUUGAAUAUGUACAUAUAUAUAAGACAGAGAUGUCCAUCUAAAGCAGUGGUUCCCAAAGUGUGCAAUAUCAUCUCGCUGGGGGGGGAGGGGGGAAUUUUUAAAGGAGUGAUAAAGGGGACAGUGGGGAGGCACUCAAUAGUAAAGGGGGCACAUGAGGGAUUACAAGAUUAAUUUAAGAAAUAAAUUACAGUACUGUGCACAUAUAUAUAGCUAGGUUGGCCAAAGACCUUUGCACAGUACUGUAUUUGUCAACAUGGAAUAGAGAGCGAGUUUGUAAAUCUGGAGCAAAGGAUGUUGGGAAUGGUGAGGGUGGAGCACCAUGAGAGGGGUGUGGGACAAGUGGCAGAGAAAUGCCAUGGGCAGGGGGUGAGACAGCAGGCAAGUUCAUUUGAUUCCAAACAAUUGGUUUAGUGAUCAUUACAGAAUGUCUCUCUGGUGCUUGUCACUCCCUUCCCCUUUUCUCAACCAUGAUUGCCUUCUCCCUGCUGCUCAGUCAACAAUGGAGACUCAGAUCAGAUUCAGGUUUAUCAUCACUCACACAUCAUGAAUUUUUUUUUGCAGCAAUACAGUACAAUACAUAAAAUAACUACAGUACCAUGCAAAAGUGUUAUCCAUCCAAUCUAUAUACAUGUGCCUAAAACUUCCACAAAAUACUAUACUUAUUUAUAAGCAUUUGAUCCUCAGAGCCUCAAAACUGAUUACAAUAAUCACAUAAUCACCUCAUCUCUUGCUAAUCCACUGUUCUCUUAAAGACUGACUUUGCUCGAAGCAUGUUAUAGUUCUGUAUUUAGCAUCUCAUGAGAGAUCUAAACUGAAGAAAUUGUGUUAUCUUCAGAGUUGGCACGUGCAAAUACCGGAUUACAAAUACCUGGGGAUACGAAUGGACAAUAAACUGGACUGGUCAAAGAACACUGAGGCUGUCUACAAGAAGGGACAGAGCCGUCCCUAUUUCCCAAAGAGACUGAGAUCCUUUAACAUCUGCCGGACAUUGCUGAGGAUGUUCUACGAGGCUGUGGUGGCCAGUGCUAUCAUGUUUGCUGUUGUGUGCUGGGGCAGCAGGCUGAGGGUAGCAGAUGCUAACAGAAUCAACAAACUCAUUCGUAAGGCCAGUGAGGUCAUUGGGGUGGAACACGGUGGUGUCUGAAAAGAGGAUGCUGUCCAAGUUGCAUGCCAUCUUGGGCAAUGACUCCCAUCCACCCCAUAAUGUAUUGGUUAGGCAUAGGAGCACAUUCAGCCAGAGACUUAUUCCACCGAGUUUUAACACUGAGCGUCAUAGGAAGUCAUUCCUUCCUGUGGCCAUCAAACUUGACAACUCCUCCCUCGGGAGUGUCAGACACCCUGAGCCAAUAGGCUGGUCCUGGACUUAUUUCCACUUGGCAUGAUUAACUUAUUAUUAUUUAAUUAUUUAUGGUUUUAUAUUGCUAUAUUUCUUCACUAUUCUUGGUUGGUGCGGCUGUAACAAAACCCAAUUUCCCUCGGGAUCAAUAAAGUAUGUCUGUCUGUGCAUUAUUGCCGUUCACUACUGUUGUAUAGUGUUAGCUAGUACAAUUCCCAUAUUCUAAUCACACUGUGACACCAUUCCUUUGAACUAGAGUAUGAUAUUUAAUGGAAUAAAGUUCUGAAUCUGCCCUUUAGAAUGCCCUUGACCACAUUUCUCUAGCCCAUAGCCCAAUCGAGUUAUCACUAGACCACUUUAUGUUCCUACAAGCAGAGUCAAGUUUUGCAUGAGCUAUGAUGACGUCAAAACUUUCCUUUUUAUUGAUCACAGCAUCAGAAUUUAGACUUAAACAAUGUUAUUGACCGUGGUCGUUAAUCCAUAAAGAAAAUGGCAGAAGCAGACUAAAUGAAAAAGUAUAGUUUAGAGCAUCUUAAAUAUGGAUUUAUACCAGCAGCCGAAGUGUCUAUUGUGUGAAAAAGUUUUUUUUACAAAUGAAGCAAUGAAACCAUCCUGGCUCCUUUAACAUUUAGAGACAAUACACUCUGAUAAAGCAAAGAACUUAGCUUAUUUUCAGUCACUUUACAAAAACUUUCAGAAAUGGAAAAUACUUCAAAGCAUGGUUGCCAGCACUUCACAACACAACUGUGAUGGUUCACGUGCUUCAUACAACAUUUCAUUGCUACAUCUGGAAAACUCUGUACAACUGGAGAAGAACAGAUUCUGCCAGUAGUCAGGGAGGUUCUGAGAACGGUUUUACACAAGUCACCAGACUAAAUAAUUAAGUGAUUCUGCUGAACAACAACUCUGUUCAAAGACGAAUAGCUGAAAUGUCUGAGAAUGUGGAACACACAAUUGUGCCACAUACUUAGGACAUCAGAAUUUGCUCCACAGUUAAACAAGUCAACUUUGCCUGGCAACGAGUCUUUGCUCCUUGGUUAUGUUUAUUUCAUAAAAGAAGAAAGCAUGUUUCAAGAUUCCUUAUUUGCAAGAGGCAUACAAACAGAUAUGAAGAGGAGUUAAUAUUUUGGGUUGUUGAGCAAUUUUUCAGAGAAGGACAUUCUGCUCACCAACAUUUUUGGUUAUGUAAUAGAUGGGACACCAUCAACGACAGGACACCACCGCGGGGUUAUUAAUUUUUUUUUAAAAGCUGCACUUAACAUAUUUACCAUUCACUUUGUAAUUCACAAACAACAUCUUUUCACUAAAAAUAUCUAAGUUCACAAAUCAUUAAACACUGUUAUCAACACAAUAUAUGAAAUCUAUUUGGUCUACUCUCUAUAUACACAUGAUGGUGUGGCUAGGCAUAGCUCAAAUACCAUCUAUAAAUUUGCUAGCAAUACAACCAUUCUUGGAAGAAUCUCAGGUGGUGACAAGAGGGCAUACAGGAGUGAGAUACGCCAACCAGUGGAGUGGUGUCGCAGCAACAACCUGGCACUCAAUGUCAGUAAGACGAAAGAGCUGAUCGUGGACUUCAGGAAGGGUAAGACGAAGGAACACAUACCAAUUCUUGUAGAGCGUUAAAAAGUGGAGAGAGUGAGCAGCUUCAAGUUCCUGGGUGUCAAGGUCUCUGAGAACCUAACCUGGUCCCAACUUAUCGAUGCAGUUAUAAAGAAGGCAAGACAGUGCCCAUACUUCAUUAGGAGUUUGAAGAGAUUUGGCAUGUCAACAAAUACACUCAAACAAUUCAAUAGCUGUACUGUGGAGAACAUUCUGACAGGCUACAUCACUGUCUGGUAUAGAGGAGCUACUGCACAGGACCGAAAGAAGCUGCAGACUGUUGUAAAUCUAGUCAGCACCAUCUUGGGUACUAGCCUACAAAGUACUUAGGACAUCUUUAGGGAGCGGUGUCUCAGAAAGGCAACGUCCAUUAUUAAGGACCUCCAGCACCCAGGGCAUGUCCUUUUCUCAAUGUUACCAUCAGGUAAGAAAUACAGAAGCCUGAAGGCACACACUCUGCGAAUCAGGAACAGCUUCUUCCUCUCUGCCAUCUGAUUUCCAAAUGGACAUUGAAUCUUUAGACACUACCUCACAAUUUUUUAAAAAUACAGUAUAUAUUAUUUCUAUUUUUGCACAAUUUUUUGUAAUCUAUUAAAUAUACAUCAUUGAUAUACUUGUAUUUUUAUUAUUAUUAUUAUUUUAUUUUUCUCUGCAAGAUUACGUAUUGCAUUGAACUGCUGCUGCUAAAUUAACAAAUUUCACGUCACAUGCUGGUGAUAAUAAACCUGAUUCUGACUACUUAGAGCAGUGGUUCCCAACAUGGGGCAUACGCCCCACAGGGGGGUAAUUUGAUUUUUAAGUGGGGGGCAAUUCAAGAAUGAGUUAUUAACAGUGAAUUUUUUCUAGUAAGUCUGUGUAUGAGUGUGUGUGCGAGUUAAUACAUAUGUGUAUAUACAGUAUGGAUACAUAAAAAUACUUGUGUGUAUGUACAUGUGUAAUUGCGUAUGUACUGUAUAUAUAGUGUAUCACCAUCAUUACAACCAUCAAAUGGCUUUCAUAAUUAAAUUAAUGAAUUGACUGAUGUAGGAAGGAACGAAUGAACAAGUCCAAACGCGUAAGAAACUCGUAAGAGGUCGCACCAAUGCUGCUUUUUGCGGUAGCUUUCGGUUCUUGGUGUUGUGAAGGUGUGUACAUUGUGUCAUCUCUUUUAAACGGUGUAUCUGUCUUUGUAUGCUGUAGAAACGAAUCGGCAUUGUUUUAUUUAUUUAUUAUUAUUAUUUUAAUAUCACUUAAUGUUCUUUUUUUUUACAAUUUCUUAGUAAUUUCUUCCUCAGAACUUUAACAGUCCUUUGGUUCUUUUAUUUUUCUCUUUCAUGAAUGC